rnacentral:rRNA from 1 species
GCCAGUAUGUGUGGAGCCGUCCUUGAAAUACCACCCUUGUAGUGUUGAUGUUCUAACGUCGACCCCUAAUCGGGGUUGCGGACAGUGCCUGGUGGGUAGUUUGACUGGGGCGGUCUCCUCCCAAAGAGUAACGGAGGAGCACGAAGGUGGGCUAAUCACGGUUGGACAUCGUGAGGUUAGUGCAAUGGCAUAAGCCCGCUUGACUGCGAGAAUGACAAUUCGAGCAGGUGCGAAAGCAGGUCAUAGUGAUCCGGUGGUUCUGAAUGGAAGGGCCAUCGCUCAACGGAUAAAAGGUACUCCGGGGAUAACAGGCUGAUACCGCCCAAGAGUUCAUAUCGACGGCGGUGUUUGGCACCUCGAUGUCGGCUCAUCACAUCCUGGGGCUGAAGUCGGUCCCAAGGGUAUGGCUGUUCGCCAUUUAAAGUGGUACGCGAGCUGGGUUUAGAACGUCGUGAGACAGUUCGGUCCCUAUCUGCCGUGGGCGUUGGAAGAUUGAAGGGGGCUGCUCCUAGUACGAGAGGACCGGAGUGGACGAACCUCUGGUGUUCGGGUUGUGUCGCCAGACGCAUUGCCCGGUAGCUAAGUUCGGAAUCGAUAACCGCUGAAAGCAUCUAAGCGGGAAGCGAGCCCUGAGAUGAGUCUUCCCUGAUACUUUAAGUAUCCUAAAGGGUUGUCGGAGACUACGACGUUGAUAGGUCAGGUGUGUAAGUGCUGUGAGGCAUUGAGCUAACUGAUACUAAUUGCCCGUGAGGCUUAACCAUACAACACCCAAGGGGUUU